GCUCGCCAUCGCCACCGACAUGACGACUUCAGCGAUUCAAUGCUGCGUCGUGGCGUUUCAUCUUCGCUCUUUUUGCAAAUGGUGGUGGCCUCGAGAUGCAAGAGCUUUUCCGAAGCUGUAGAGGGCCGGGAAGACCAGAGCCUCUUUGAAGUCUUCAGCGAAUUUGUGAGGGAAUUCUUCAACAUCGUCAAUAUCUUGAUAUCGAAAAUCCAGCGAGUCGUCAGUGGUACCGUCCCGAAACACUGAGUCAAGAUGAAGCUUGCGGUGAUGGCUGCCAAGACGUGUUCGUUGAAAUCAUUAAAUCUUUCGUCACGUG